rnacentral:tRNA from 1 species
GCUGGAGUAGCUCAGUUGGUAGAGCAUUCGCCUGAAGAGCGAAGGGUCGCCGGUUCGAGACCGGCCUCCAGCACCA